rnacentral:lncRNA from 1 species
AUGACGGCGCCGCCGAUGUGGCUGCCGUUUGGCGGGGCGGAGCUGCGGGAGACCGCGGUGGUGGAGCUGGAGCCACACGCGCGACGGCUCCCUGGCCAACUUGCGCAGCCGCGAACAAGGAGAGCCACGCCUUCACCGCCGCCUCGCGAUGUCGAUGGCGAUGAGUUCGAUCUCCGGCCGCCGCCCCGCCGCGUGCAUGAGCUGGAGGAGGUGCCCGGCGACGUUGGCGAUGCCGUCGUGCGUGAGCAGCGUGACGACGUCAAUAGCACGAGGCAGAUGACGGUCAGCUUGAUGGCGCCGUCGUUCUUGGCGUGGCGGCACGCGAACUCCACCGACUCCCGGUCGUCGGGGCCGCCGAGGAAGACGGCGCUGGAAGCUGGCGCCGACGGUGCACGGGGCAAGCUCGAGCACCUUGCGGUUGAGCUCGCGGCAAUGGUGCUCGCGGGCACCCCGUCGAACCCGUCGUGCUCCGGUAAGUUGUCGACGAAGGAGACGGCGACGAGCAGCACCACCAGCCAUCGGCUUCGUCGCCAGCGACAACCUCACCGUCCUGCUCUGCUACGCCUGCCCCUCGCUGGCGCAGGUCACAGUGGUGGUGGCUGCGGCACUCGACGCGCUUCACAGCAUGACCUGCGGGCUGCGGCUGCCCAUGAGGAGAGAAGUGAGAGAGAGGAGGAAGGGAGGGAUGACGUGGCAUCCUAACAUGUGGGCC